AAACGAACGCUGGCGGCUGCUAAUACAUGCAGAUUUAAACGAGAUCUUCGGAUCUAGCCUGGCGCACGGGUGCGUAACGCGUGGGAAUCUGCCCUUGGGUUCGGAAUAACUUCUGGAAACGGAAGCUAAUACCGGAUGAUGACGUAAGUCCAAAGAUUUAUCGCCCAAGGAUGAGCCCGCGUAGGAUUAGGUAGUUGGUGAGGUAAAGGCUCACCAAGCCGACGAUCCUUAGCUGGUCUGAGAGGAUGAUCAGCCACACUGGGACUGAGACACGGCCCAGACUCCUACGGGAGGCAGCAGUAGGGAAUAUUGGACAAUGGGCGAAAGCCUGAUCCAGCAAUGCCGCGUGAGUGAUGAAGGCCUUAGGGUUGUAAAGCUCUUUUACCCGGGAUGAUAAUGACAGUACCGGGAGAAUAAGCUCCGGCAUAACUCCGUGCCAGCAGCCGCGGUAAUACGGAGGGAGUUAGCGUUAGUUCGGAAUUACUGGGCGUAAAGCGCACGUAGGCGGCUAUUCAAGUCAGAGGUGAAAGCCCGGGGCUCAACCCCGGAACUGCCUUUGAAACUAGAUAGCUUGAAUCCCAGGCACAAGGUGAGUCGGAAUUCCCGAGAUGUAGAGGUGAAAUUCGUAGAUUAUUCGGAAGAACACCAGUGGCGAAGGCGGCUCACUGGACUGGUAUUGACGCUGAGGUGCGAAAGCGUGGGGAGCACAACAGGAUAGAUACCUGGUAAUCCACGCCGAACGAUGAUAACUAGCGUGUCAGGCCCCCUGGGU
rnacentral:rRNA from 1 species